rnacentral:rRNA from 1 species
AACGAACGCUGGCGGCAGGCCUAACACAUGCAAGUCGAGCGAGGACUUCGGUCCUAGCGGCGGACGGGUGAGUAACGCGUGGGAACGUGCCCUUUGCUUCGGAAUAGCCCUGGGAAACUGGGAGUAAUACCGGAUGAGCCCUUUGGGGGAAAGAUUUAUCGGCGAAGGAUCGGCCCGCGUUGGAUUAGGUAGUUGGUGGGGUAAUGGCCUACCAAGCCGACGAUCCAUAGCUGGUUUGAGAGGAUGAUCAGCCACACUGGGACUGAGACACGGCCCAGACUCCGACGGGAGGCAGCAGUGGGGAAUCAUAGACAAUGGGGGAAACCCUGAUCUAGCCAUGCCGCGUGAGCGAGGAAGGCCUUAGGGUUGUAAAGCUCUUUCAGCUGGGAAGAUAAUGACGGUACCAGCAGAAGAAGCCCCGGCUAACUCCGUG